rnacentral:rRNA from 1 species
UACGUAGGGGGCAAGCGUUGUCCGGAAUCAUUGGGCGUAAAGAGCGUGUAGGCGGCCCGAUAAGUCCGCUGUGAAAGUCCAGGGCUCAACCCUGGAAUGCCGGUAGAUACUGUCGGGCUCGAAUCCGGAAGAGGUGAGUGGAAUUCCUGGUGUAGCGGUGAAAUGCGCAGAUAUCAGGAGGAACACCAAUGGCGAAGGCAGCUCACUGGGACGGUAUUGACGCUGAGACGCGAAAGCGUGGGGAGCAAACAGG